CUAAUAAUGGCAGAUUAGUGCCUCAGCUUUAAGCGCUGAAUAUGGCCACCUUAUUAGA
rnacentral:tRNA from 1 species